UUCUUAUAAACAUGUUUCUUAUAAAAAAAAACGUGUUUGAUGUUAAAAAAGGACAUAUCCUAAAAGUGGGAUGCGGGAUGCUGGAAGACCUAUCGGGAUGCGGGUUCGACAAGUGGGGCUAGCCAUGCAGUUACUGAACAUCGCGUAGACAUUAAAAAAUAAUGUGACACGAAAUGAUUUGUUUGACAUUGAACGUUUAUAUAUCCUUUGACGAGGUUUAGAUAUCAAGCAACAAAUGCGAAUUCCUCCGAUCUGAAAAAGUUGUGCUUUCGAACUAUACACUCUGAAAAGAGAAAAAAGUCUAUGUGUGAGUGUUUAAAUCAUUGAGUGGGAAAAACAAAUAUUUUCGUGACUACGAAUUGCCCUUUUUCUUUUUAAUAAAAACCAGGAGUAGAAAGCACGUUCUCACAGCAUAUAUAUCAUAGAAGAACACAUCUCUGUGUCGUUUUCUCGUAUCUCGUAUCUAAACCCAGCUAUCCGCGCUACAAAUUACGGUCUACCGACCGAAAUGAUCAGGAAAAUUAAUCGACUGAAAACAUGAGCGAAUCACGUGCGAAUAGUUUGCCAGUGUAGUGUGUUUGAGACGUUGUAUAAUUGUAAACUGUUAUUUUUAUCAUUGUGAAUAUUAUUUUGUAUUGUGAAACUCGAAUCUUGAUUUUGAACACUUUCGAUUAUUCUACUGGACACGAUUUUAUAACUGGAUUUUGGAUUUUUGCUUGCUGAACAAGAUUUAACACAUUUUGAAUUUUGAAUUGAUCUGGUUUUUGUUUAUUAUUUGUAAUAAUUGAUGCCAAAAGGAUAUUCUUUCUGCCCACUCUGCACAUUUAAAAAUUUUCAAAGCAAAAUCGCCUUCCCUUAUCCUUUGUGUUUUUUAUAAUUCACAUUUUUUUGAACUUGUUAAAAUUCUGUUAUUUUUCGUUAAAAACAAACGAAAAUGUAUUUAUUCAUUAGCGAGCUUUUCGUGCGUUUAAUCCAUGGCGAGAAUAAAUAACAUUGGCUCGGUAAUCAUUUCAUUUCGAUGAUUUUUUUAAUCCUGCAUCCUGCAUCCCGCUUUUCCGAUAUGUGGUUAAAAAAGUUGCACGACGCAGAAAAAUGUUGUUUUCCGCGUUUUAUGUACUGCAAAAAAGCAAAAACGUGCUUUUCCGAGCUUUCAUAAAUCUUGUGUUGCUCACUAAGGACCAUGUUGACUUACCGCGGGAAAUUUUAUAAUAGCCCGUCUAAGGUCUUACUCUGACUAUAAAAAGUGUCGUAUAGUGAUUUCAAAAUGGCUGCGUCACUUGUUGUAAAAGAUGAUAUAAUAGAUAUAUCUCUAAACCGCAAAAAAACCGCGGGAAGUAGAAAUUUUGGAAUAUCACAUUAAUAUUUUUAUGAUGACAGUAAAAUACAAGAAGUGCUUUUAUUGUACUUCCGCGGUCAAGUAAUAGAGCCCAUACUGCACAACGCUCGAUUUACAAAAGUGCGGAUAAAUCGCGUUUUCAAAAUUUCGUAGUCCUUAAAACGUGUUAUUUUUCUGCGCCGUACAAUUUUUUAACCACAAUUAACCUAACACAUCAGCACCUAAGGCUGCGAUAAUGAUGUCAAUAAUUUCUAGACAAGCUUUGUGGUCUCGUGAAAUAAGCCACCUGAGUUAUUGCUGCAUAACUUUCGUCGUGUUCCGUUAAAAUAAAAAAAUUGAAAAGAAUUUGGCAGGCGUGAAAGGCGAAGAGAUCGCCGACAACGAGAUCCUUCUGUGAGAACUUUAUGAGCUUGAGUAAAAAGUUGACAGUUUAGCAACGUUUCAUGAAUUGAUUUUUGACAGUUUUGUUACCUUUUUUUUUAAUUUUAAUUGUAAUUUUUUUAUGUUUAUUAUUGAACUUCUUCUAAUAUAUAUUUUUCUCAUUUCGCAAAGAUCAGCCACCAUAGAACAGCCAAAUGAAUAUCCUUAAAACUUUUGUAGAUGGUUUUCUAUAAUUUUGAAGUAGAAAAAAAUAUUUCAUAGUGGUCGGCCACAUACAUAAAGGCAUGAUCUCAUAUUGUAUGCAAUUAUUUAAUAAAUAAAAUUGUUAUUUUAAAGGCUCCUUUGAUUGAAAGUUUGCAUUGUGGGUAAUUGUUUGGCCUAAUUUUUCUUAAGCAACCUUUGCAUAAAUUUUUUAAUUAGGGCGAUAUAAAAAUUUUAUUUCCAUCUCUAGUCUUCUGGUCUUCACUAAUGUUUAGACGGUUUGGGGCAAGAAGAACUCCAUACUGACAUUAAAUUUCACAUCGCCCUCAUGUUCUAAGUCAGAAUGUUCAUGUAAACACAAUUUAUUCGAAAUGAGACCAUUGUCUAUGUGUACAAAUCUAUUACGCAUGCGUACAAAGUUAUAAAUCAUGUGCAGUUAGCACAAAGCCUAUAAACAAGAUUAAAUACCAUGUCGGUUUGAACUCUUAUUUCAGGCACAUGAAAAGGCUACCUACAUAAAAAUGUCACUUGUCUGUAUUUUUGAAUUAAAAACGUUUUUUGUACUGCCAAAGUCUGCUGUAAUUCUUAUUCUGAUUGCGUCUAAACAGGUGUAUAUCACUAUCAGUAUCUUCAUGAUGUGUCUACAUGAUAAUAUUUUGUUUUUGCACAAUACACAGCUUCUUUUUAUUUAAAUUGUUUAAUAUUGUUUUGUAUUUUGAUCUCCUGCAUUCAUCGUGUGAUUUCUUGUACCACAACAUCCACAUUCAAUUGGCUUUUAGUUAGAGGAUUUAUGUGAGAGAUUACUUGCGUGAAUAUUUGCUAUUGUUUGCUUUACUUUAGCUGCUCUCCGUGCUUCUCCAUUGUACUUUUUUACAUUGAAAAUGUGAUAGCAUCUAUGCAAUUCAAUUUUAGGCAAAGAAACAGACACCAGUUGGGCGCUGAGUAAGUCCCAAAUAUUGUUUUUUUCGUUUUUUUUCGAAAUUCCACUUUCCUUGCAGUUUAAGAUCGAAAUAUAAAAUAUAAUCGAACGAAAUUGUUUUCGAGAUAUCCAGAUUUAAACUCAUUUGACAAGGAUGUGAUAGCGUACGACGGAGUUGCCAAAUUAAGAAGCCGGUUUGCGCUAACAAGAAAGGGAAGCGACGAUGCAUCGAUUUCACUUUCUGCGGCUCUUGUGAGCAAAUAAAUAAAUAAAUCCGUGUUCUGAUAAGAACCAUUUUUUUUAUAUAAAGCCAACGCCCUGUAAACAGAUGCGUAGUUGAUGCGAUGAAAAUGGUACCUUCUAGGCCAAAUUGCGCUGAAAAAAAUGAAACGCGGAAACUUGCAUCAUUCAGAACAAGGAUGUACAGUUGUCUCCAAUUCCUGAAAACAAAUUGCCAUAUAGCUGCUUUAAUUCUGAAAUUCUUGGUCAGAGUGGGUAGAGGGAUCGAACGGCGAAGAGCACAAACUAAAAAGCUAUUUUUUGAGCGCGAGAAUUGUUGAUCGGCGGAUAGGGUACGACAACACACUUGUAACCUGCCAAGGACUUAAUACUAAAAAGUAUUUUCUAAAUACUUAGGCAUGUUCUUUUUCUUGAGGGUGUUACUCACAAAAAACGUAUUAAAUGUAUUCAAGUUACCACUAUUAGUCAGGGAAGUAGCACUAAGUAUAUUAAUAAGAAAUUAUUUCACAAGCUAGUAAAUUUUACAUGUCUUAAAAAAAGAGAAACAACCAGCUUGAGAUAAAGAACCAUUUCUUUUUUAUGGUCUUGGUUUAGGGAAGGUAUCAAUGUCUUAAUUUAAAAACUCGGACUACUUGAAAUUGCCUAUGUACUAUUAUACUUCUAAAACCAAUUUUACUAAAAUACAGUCACUAGGUAGCUUUAUUUGCUUAUUUACCUUUAGAGGCCCAAGAAAGCGGAUAUUUGUGGGGGUUUAAAGUUCAAGAAGAGCAGAAAAGUCUAUAGGAAACAACAUAUGCAACUCAAACUAUAUAAAAAAUCGCAAAAAAAUUAAUUUUUAAUGAUAAAUUCCAUGCCAACUACCAACGUAAACUUGGACAGGGGUGCCGAUGCAACAAUAAAAAUGAAAGGGAUUCUAAAGAUGGAAUGAAAGAACUUCUCACCGCUGCUUCUUUGUCUUCAAGGUAAUUCUUCUUUUGCAUAAGUGAACGCAUUUUUUCUAUUCUCAUGAUAUUCUCGUGUCUUUUGGGAGUUAAUUUUAAUGUUACCAAUGAUACUUCUGAAAUAGCAGGAACUAGUAGCGAGGUUGAUGACAGUAUUGAUAUGACUGUUGAAGGUUGGUAAUGAAUAUAUGAAAAUUUAUUCAAAAAAUAUUAUCGGAAUAUUGGAUUGACUUCUAACUUACUUCUUACCAUCAAUUGUGUUACUUUCAACCAAUCACUGGUUACUUCCAACCAUCAAGGUUACUUCCAACCAUUUAGGGGGAAAAAAAUUCGCCGUGCCGUGCGAGAUAACAAUGCAGCGUUUUGGAAUUUGAUGAAUCGAAAAAAGUUUUAAACGAUCGUAACAGAUGUAAACAUUAAUUUUUUUUAUUUCUUUUUGUUUACAUUUUGUUAAUGUUUAUUAUUACGGCAACAACAUUAAAUCAGCGACCCUGUAGUUAAUUAUUUUUUACAGUUUAUAUGAAUUCUUCUCUAGGAGAUACACGCUGUUUUAUAUAA